rnacentral:rRNA from 1 species
UGCCAGACUCCUACGGGAGGCAGCAGUGGGGAAUAUUGGACAAUGGGGGGAACCCUGAUCCAGCGACGCCGCGUGAGUGAAGAAGUAUCUCGGUAUGUAAAGCUCUAUCAGCAGGGAAGAAAAUGACGGUACCUGACUAAGAAGCCCCGGCUAACUACGUGCCAGCAGCCGCGGUAAUACGUAGGGGGCAAGCGUUAUCCGGAUUUACUGGGUGUAAAGGGAGCGUAGACGGCAGCGCAAGUCUGGAGUGAAAUGCGGGGGCUCAACCCCCGGACUGCUCUGGAAACUGUACGGCUGGAGUGCAGGAGAGGUAAGUGGAAUUCCUAGUGUAGCGGUGAAAUGCGUAGAUAUUAGGAGGAACACCAGUGGCGAAGGCGGCUUACUGGACUGUAACUGACGUUGAGGCUCGAAAGCGUGGGGAGCAAACAGGAUUAGAUACCCCAGUA